GAUGAACGCUAGCGGCAGGCUUAACACAUGCAAGUCGAGGGGCAGCGCGGGUAGCAAUACCUGGCGGCGACCGGCGAAAGGGUGAGUAACGCGUGAGCAACGUGCCCGUAUGUGGGGGAUAGUCGAUGGAAACGUCGCGUAAUACCCCGUAACACAAGGGACCGCAUGAUCUCUUGUUGAAAGAUUUAUUGCAUACGGAUCGGCUCGCGUGCCAUUAGGUAGACGGCGGGGUAACGGCCCACCGUGCCGACUAUGGCUAGGGGUUCUGAUAGGAAGGUCCCCCACAUUGGAACUGAGACACGGUCCAGACUCCUACGGGAGGCAGCAGUGAGGAAUAUUGGACAAUGGCCGGAAGGCUGAUCCAGCCAUGCCGCGUGCGGGAGGACGGCCCUAUGGGUUUAAACCGCUUUUGCGAGGGAGCAAUAAGAGUCACGUGUGGCUCGAUGAGAGUACCUCGCGAAUAAGCAUCGGCUAACUCCGUGCCAGCAGCCGCGGUAAUACGGAGGAUGCAAGCGUUAUCCGGAUUUAUUGGGUUUAAAGGGUGCGUAGGCGGUUUGCUAAGCGGGAGGUGAAAUGCCGGCGCUCAACGUCGGAAGUGCCUCCCGAACUGGUGGACUGGAAUGACUCUGCCGUGGGAGGAAUGUGUAGUGUAGCGGUGAAAUGCUUAGAGAUUACACAGAACACCGAUUGCGAAGGCAUAUCACGAAGGGUUGAUUGACGCUGAGGCACGAAAGCGUGGGGAUCAAACA
rnacentral:rRNA from 1 species